rnacentral:tRNA from 1 species
GGGAUAGCUCAGUCGGUAGAGCGUUGGAUUGCUAAUGCAAAGGUCGCAAGUUGAAGCCCGAC